rnacentral:rRNA from 1 species
GACCUCAAAUCAGGUAGGACUUAAUCUAAUAGUUUUUAUUCGAGGAACAAGGGAUUUAAA